GGACUACACGGGUUUCUAAUCCCGUUCGCUCCCCUAGCUUUCGCGUCUCAGCGUCAGCAGACGUCCAGGACCUCGCUUUCGCCACGGGCGUUCCUUCCGAUCUCAACGCAUUUCACCGCUCCACCGGAAGUUCCAGGUCCCCCUACGUCCCUCCAGGCGGGCCGUUUCGGUUCCACUUCCCCGGUUGAGCCGGGGGCUUUCAGAAGCCGACGUUCCCACCCGCCUACACGCGCUUUAAGCCCAGUGAUUCCGAAUAACGUUCGCACGGUUCGUCUUACCGCGGCGGCUGGCAC
rnacentral:rRNA from 3 species